rnacentral:rRNA from 1 species
AACGAACGCUGGCGGCAGGCUUAAUACAUGCAAGUCGAACGCCCCUUUCGGGGGGAGUGGCAGACGGGUGAGUAACGCGUGGGAACGUGCCCAAAGGUAGGGAACAACUCCGGGAAACUGGAGCUAAUACCCUAUGUGCCCGAGAGGGGAAAGAUUUAUCGCCUUUGGAUCGGCCCGCGUUGGAUUAGCUAGUUGGUGGGGUAAAAGCCUACCAAGGCGACGAUCCAUAGCUGUUCUGAGAGGAAGAUCAGCCACACUGGGACUGAGACACGGCCCAGACUCCUACGGGAGGCAGCAGUAGGGAAUCUUGGACAAUGGGCGCAAGCCUGAUCCAGCCAUGCCGCGUGAGUGAUGAAGGCCUUAGGGUUGUAAAACUCUUUCGCAGGUGACGAUAAUGACGGUAACCUGAGAAGAAGCCCCGGCUAACUUCGUGCCAGCCGCCGCGGUAA